UGGCGGACGGGUGAGUAAUGUCUGGGAAACUGCCCGAUGGAGGGGGAUAACUACUGGAAACGGUAGCUAAUACCGCAUAACGUCGCAAGACCAAAGAGGGGGACCUCCGGGCCUCGCGCCAUCAGAUGAACCCAUAUGGGAUUAGCUAGUAGGUAAGGUAACGGCUUACCUAGGCGACGAUCCCUAGCUGGUCUGAGAGGAUGAUCAGCCACACUGGGACUGAGACACGGUCCAG
rnacentral:rRNA from 1 species